GCCCAUAUUGUAUUGUGAAAUGGACCACAGAGAAAUUUAUUUAAAAUAGCACAGACAACAAUGGGAAAUGAAAACCUUUCCCUUCUAACUAUUAUACAUGUAAUGCACAAUACCUCAACAAGUUAUGAACAGCUUCUCUACUUCUCAGUCAACUAUCAAAGCCAUUCUUUAGGGUUGAUGCAUGCAUCGAGGAGUUUCCAUUCUUCGCUCCCUUCCUCUGGUUGAUGAUUAUAUUCCCAUCGGGAUGUUAGCGGCAGUGAAACGAGAAUGCUCUCAAUCCGGCCUCCUGUCUUCAGUCCAAAAGUCGUGCCACGAUCAUAGACCAGAUUGAAUUCCACAUAACGCCCUCUUCGUAGUUGUUGCCACGACUUAUGCUGGUCGGUGAAUGGGGUGUCCUUUCGCCGUUCUAUAAUGGGCAAAUAUGCUGGAAUAACAGAUUUUGUGCACUCAGUAGAAAAUGCGAGAAGCAUCUCUUGAUCAUAAUCAUUCAGGUCAUCAAAAAAUAUUCCACCAAGACCACGCCUUUCACCACGGUGCUUAAUGACAAAAUAAUCGUCACACCACUUUUUGAAUCUGGGAUAGAAGGUAGGAUCAAACUUGUCACAGGCUUGCUUUUGAAUCUUAUGGAAAUGUUUUACAUCUUCCUCGAAGAUAUAUGCAGGAGUAAAAUCAGUGCCACCUCCAAACCACCAUUGCCUAGGUGCA
rnacentral:misc_RNA from 1 species